rnacentral:tRNA from 1 species
GGUUCCAUGGUGUAGCGGUUAUCACGUCUGCUUUACACGCAGAAGGUCUCCGGUUCGGUCCCGGAUGGAACCA